AAAAUUCUUAAAGAAGAUGAAAACUAUCAUGAUUUGAAGAUUCAUAACUUCUUGCAUUACGUAUAUUAGGUAGACACUCGAUUAUUACAUUACUGAUAAAAUGACAUCUAGCUUGUUAUGCUACAUAGGCACAAUUGAGCAGAAUUAAUUCAAAUGCUAGAGAAAACUGAUAAGAAAUUCUUAUUUAGAACUAAUUUAUCACGUAGAAAAUUUUUGUACACAUCUAACUGUAAAUGUGCUCAACAAUAGAAAAUUAAUGAACUAUUAUUUUAAGUAGGUCCUA
rnacentral:misc_RNA from 1 species